rnacentral:rRNA from 1 species
AAUGAACGUUGGCGGCGUGGAUUAGGCAUGCGAGUCGUGCGAGAACCGUAGCAAUACGGGGACAGCGGCGCAAGGGAGAGGAAUAAGUAGAAAUCUACCCUCGGGACGGGGAUAGCGGCGGGAAACUGCCGGUAAUACCCGAUAACGUCUUUGGACCAAAGGUGUGAUUCCGCCUGAGGAUGAGUCUACUUCCUAUUAGCUGGUUGGCGGGGUAAUGGCCCACCCAGGCAACGAUGGGUAGCAGGUGGUAGAGCAUGACCUGCCUCAUUGGGACUGAGGCACUGCCCAGACCCCUACGGGUGGCUGCAGUCGAGAAUCGUCGGCAAUGGACGAAAGUCUGACCGAGCGACGCCGCGUGCGGGAUGAAGGCCUUCGGGUUGUAAACCGCUGUCGUAGGGGAACAAAUCUAUGAGGGUUCUCCCUUGUAGUUGAGUGAUCCUAGGAGGAAGGAGAGGCUAAGCUCGUGCCAGCCGCCGCGGUAACAC